CAGUGGUUUCAUGCCUUAAAGGUACACAUGCGUUCAAGCAAGAUCUCAUCUUUGAGUUAGAGUAAACUGUUAAGACUUAAAACUUACUCAUUUUACCUUUCACCAUGGGGCUUGCAACCAUUACUUGUGUCUUGAGCAGUUAAAAGAUAGAACGGUCAAGUCAAGCACCAUGUCUCUUGUUCUUGAUCAACUAUAGCUCUGGAGUUUUUUGCAGAUUUUCAAAUAAAACUCAUAGAUUCCUGUAUGACUCUCUCUAGUCUCUCUUUUGUGGUAUUUCUGGAUCCUCACCAAGGCAGUGAUGGUGUAUGCCUUCUCUCAAAGUAUGUAGUAUUUGUGGUAUGAGGCAUAGUGAUAUUGCCUUCUCUCUCACCCUACUCUAAUAAGGUUUUGAUAUCUGGAGCUCAUAGGUGCGAGACAGCUAAUACAUACUUACAAGACAUUUAUUGCAUAGUCAAACCAUGGAUCCAGAGAAACAAGUCAAUAAGUCAAAUCAAGAUGUGCAUGUGUGGCGAAUGAAUGGUGUAUGGUGAUGAUGGUGAUAAUGGUGAAAACAAUGGUGAAAGUCUAAUUCUACUUUUGCUCUUUUGAGGGGAUACAUACCUUUCUUGCACUUUGAAGCUUCUUGAGGGGAAUGAGAUGGUCUAUAUUUUCUUUUUCUUUUCCCUCAGGUGGGUAUCUUGUACCCCUAAUUCUACUGUCGGACACUUGUCCAUUUUUACCUCUCGUCUCACUUUUUCUUUUUCUUCGAGGUUCCGGGCACUUGCCCCUUUAUACUUCCUCGUAUUUUUUUCUCUUUUUUUAGAGCAAUCACCCUCCUGGAAUAAUAUAGCAAGUGGUAGUAACCAAGAUAACUCGGGCAUUUAUUUCACAGGGGAAAAAUAGAAAUGUUUUUGUUUAUUCUCUCCCGAAUUAGGAGUAGAAUAUUUUUGGGUGGUUCUGGAGAUGGAAAGGAGUGGAUGUAUGUGGAUGCGUACUUCUGGAGUAGAAGCAGUAUGUAUGAGUGAACAUGCAAGUGAAUCUUGAUUUUAACCGCAUGACAAGCUCCUAAGGGUCUACACAGCUUGACCACACUCAAUGCUCAUAAGCAGUAAAAAGUAAAUGUGUGGCUCAAAGUGUAGCAAGCAUGUAUAUAUAGCUGUGGUAGGAUUUUAAACUCUCAUCAUACAGGAACUCAUCAUGCAACAUUUUAAAGAUUUUCAAAGAUAAAAUUCUCCAGAAUUCUAGCAUCUCUAGGAACAGAUAAAUAGCAGCUCAAUCUUCCCAUAUCGUAUCCAUUAACAACUUAGACUUUAGAUCAAGUACUCUUCCCACAAGUUCAGGUUUAGAGCAAAUCUUAAUUUAUAACAGUCAUGCCUAAACUUGAGAGAGAUUUCAAUUUUGAGAACUAGUCAUGGCAGAGCAACUAUUCAUCAUUUCUAUGUGAGAGCUUAUCAUGAGGGUUCAUAGCAAACUUUAUUUAUUUAUUUAUUUAGCAAACUAAGCAAAGAUAUAUAUAUAUAUAUAUAUAAGCAUAAAAUCUUUAUUUGGGUUUUUAUGAUUAUGCAUCUUUUUAUUAUUUGAGUAAAGUAUAAACGCGAGUAGAAACACUUAGCUGGAUAAAUGGGGGUGCUCUCCCCCAAGCUGGAUUUUGACGUAAUUUCUUCUGAUGUAGCUAGCAGGUGACGGAGGUGUAUUUGAAUGUCGGCAGCACCCUGUCAGCGAUUACUAUGUCCUCCACCGGCUAGUCUUCUUUGAUCCUUGAAUUCUAUGGAGCUCAAAUAGACAACAAAGCUUUGUGGAACUAGUUAAGUGUUAGCAUAAAAUCUCUUAGCCUUUAUUAUAUUGAGAUUCCUCCUAAUAAAUUUUAUUUAUUGAGCAGGAUCAUGCACUUAUUAUUUUUAUAUUUUUAUUGUAAGAUGAAAACAUAUUUAUUUUAUGCCACCACAGUCAAUAUACCUAUGGGUUUUAAACCACAAGUCUACUCACAUGGGGCUUUAGAUUUCAUGAUGCAGUGCAACGAACAAAUAUUUUUGUUUUCUUUUCUAAUGCUAAUGUGGAAAAGUAGAUAUGCUAAUGCAAGUGAUGGAAUAAAAAGGAAAAGGAAUGCAGAAAAGAUAAAUAUGGAUAACUAACGAUCUUACCUUUUGGCGAGGGUUCAAUGUUUUAAGUCUUCUAAACAAGACUUCUCACCAUGUUCAUUCUUUAGGUGCGUCAUUUGAUUCAGGUGUGGACCUUGACGUCUGCACCUCUUGAUACGGUGUCACCUAUGUUCUUUGGUUGCCCAGCAGUUUGAAGUGCGGUGUUGGCAGUAUCUUGCUCAGUGUGUUUGUGCUCGUAGAUCCAGGUCCUUCACUUGGUGGAGUCUGGGAGUUGUAAAACUCCUCCAUGUUUUGCACGAAGUGUACCUGCUCAUAGAGACAAGGCAGAGAUCAAGUGCAUGGGCCCUGUUGGUGGAAAACACCAACAGAACCAAAAGUGUAUUUGUUCUGCUCUAACCUUAAGCAUAGUGAGCAAGACAAAGUUGAUGGAUACUAAGAUCAUGAGUGUAGCAUUUAAAACAAUUGUCAGAUCAGAUCGCUCAACCUUAUGGAAAGAUAAUCUAUCUAUGUUUAUGUUUUAUUUUUUUAUAUAUAUCUUCCAAAGAUUGAGUGUGCAACAUUUUAGCUCAUAUCAUUAGAAGUGUGGGAUCACAAACAUGUUGAAUUGAUUGGGUUGGUUCACCUAGAGUUGUAAAUCAUACAUGUUUGUCUUUUUUAUUCAUAUGAACUCUAGAACCAAGGAGAAGCUUAUAAAAGUGAUAGUCAAGUACCUUAAGAUGUUACCUUACUUGAACAAUGAUGGUACAGUAUCACCUUGUGGAAGCUUUCCUUUCUUAGCGGUUGUGCAUCGUGUUUGUGGCACCCUCCAUGGAUCAUCUCUUAUGACCUACGUCUUCCUUGUGUAAAUUGUUAAACUUGAUGUGUCUCUCUCUUUGUCUCCAAUGUGAGUUUAUCUUAGGACUUCCCAGGUUGAUAUUGAAAGUUUUCCUACAGGGGUUAGUCCAACAAAAUAUCCAAUAUCUACUAUAGCAUACUAUCGGCUCAAAAAUCAACCUAGACACCAUGUCUAAUUUGAUUUAGGAGAGCAUUUUAACCUAAGCACCAUGCUUAAUUUAAAAUCCCUUGGAAGUAAGAUCAUCAUUCCUAAACUAAGCACCAUGCUUAAUUAAGAGAUAAAUGAAACUACUCCAAACCUAGACACAUACUAAAGCAAAUAAAGGUAGCAUGAGAGCAUUUAUAGAGAUCUACUCAAGUGGAGAUGAAGUAGUGUUAUUAAUAUUUAACCAAUUGAGCAUGUCUCAAAGGUAGGGACAACCAACAUAGCAACAUGGCAAAGGAUGUUUUUAUGUAAAGUACUCCCCCAAGCUUGAAUUUUGCAAAAUUCAAGUAUGGAUUUAAUUCAAUGUUGUAUGAUGAUUGGUUGGACAUACCUAGUGCUUGUCAUUUAUCCAAUCUUCUUGCUCCAAUCCUGGAAAGGUUAGUGACAAGAAUACCCGAAGGAAUAUUUUUACAAUUAUCCUUAUAUGCUCAAUACACAAGGUAAUGUUGCAAAUAAUUAAAAGCUCAUGUUACGAUCUGAUCAGUGCUUAUUUUAGGACACUAAGCUUGUCCUUGGGAAACCAUCAAUUUAUGUCGGUGAAGUGGUUUCCCUUCCAACGCUGACCUAUAUCAAGAUCAACUCAACGAGAUCUGCAAUAUUUAUUAUAAACAUAUGCAUCGACAACUGCCCUUUUAAAGUUUUUAUAAAUAGAAAGUAAGAGGGGGUUGGAGAUCUCGAAUGUGGUGAUGUUGGAGAGACCAAUAGAUUGGGAAGAUGUUGCAUAUGAGCAUGGAGUAAACGAAGUGGCUAUGAAAUAAAUUCCAUGCUCAUUAAUGUUAUCUUCGUCUCCAAUCUGAACGUUCGGAGUUUCUCCUAGAUUGGUCUCACCUAUAUCCUCUUCUGUAGUUGGAUGAAUCUCAUCUUCAAAGGGAGUCAAGAACUCACCAUUUGAAAUUGAGCCAAAGUCAGAAUCCAUUAAUGCUUCUUCCUUAUCCAUCCAUUCUACACAUUCUAGCCAUUUAGAACUUGUGAUCUGGAAAGGGGAGGUGUUAGAAUUUUCUAUACGACUUAGCUCUCCUUCUAUGACAUUACUUGACAUGUCAUCCUCAUGGUCUUUAUGACUCCUAUGGUUUGAUCGUCUUGAUGGAUUGCUAGGAUCAUCAUGAGAGUGAAAAGGAGAGGGAUAAGAGGGGUCUCUAAGGUCAAGGAUGAAUUUAGAAUUUGUGAACAUGGAAGGUGAGCAGAUAGAAUCUUCUAUAUGGUUUAGCUCUCCUUCACUUGAUAUUUCAUCCUCGACUUCUUCAUAAAAGGAACUAGGACAUUCUCUAAGAGAACCAUUAUUGCAAGGAUUUGAAUUAUCCCUGCUUGAAGGUCUCUUAGGCCAGUCUCAAUGCAUAGUUUCAUGGCACAGUUACCAAGAGUAUAAACUAGGUAACCGAGCCAUAAGAGUUUUAUGGGGAUGAAACUUCUCUCUCAUCUGAUGAAACUCCUUCAUUUAAUGACCCUGCCAAAUCAGCAAUUUUGCUUAUGUGACACCCUAUUUAAUGUGCAUGACACUCUCAUGAAACAUGCAUUGAGACUGGCCUUAUGGAACCAGAAGUCUAAACCAUCAUCAUCUGAAAGAUUUAAGGUCGGAAUUCCUUCCUCCCUUGGAGAAUUUUGGGGUAUUGAUGGCUUAGGAUCGAUAGCUAAAGUUUGGGAUUGAAGUGGUUGUGAUCUGGCUAUCGAAACUUCUUCUUCUUGUCUAGGAACUGGUUCUUUCUCUUUCUCAGGGAUAUAAAUGCUAGGAGACUUUCCACUCAAUGAAUCAAUUAAAUCCCUAGCUUCACUAGCAGGUAGGUGAUAGAAGGAUCCUCUAGAGGCUGUAUUUAAAGUUUGCUUAUUUUCCCUACUAAGGCCCUCAAAAAAUUGAAUUAGAAGAACUUCUUCUGGAAUAGAAAGCUUUGGGCCAGUGAGAGUAAGGUUAAUAAAGCGGUCCCAUGAUUUGCCAAGAGAUUCUUCUUCCAGUUGUCAAAAAGAAAUAAUCUCACGCCGAAGUUCUGCCACUUUGGAGAUUGGAAAAUAUUUAAAAAGAAAACUAUUAUGUAACUCCUUCCAUUCUCCAUGAACACUCCCUACUUUGAGUUUGUGCCAAUGUCUAGCUUUUCCCGUUAAAGAGAACAGAAAGAGCUUCCAUUUAAGGGUCUCAUCGGACAUGCCUUCUAUGCAAAGGAGGUCACAGACUCGAUAAAACUCUCUUAGGUGUGUGUAUGGGUUUUCCUCACCUUCUCCUGAGAAAGGUUGUUUUUGAACAAAUUCUAUGUAUUCGGGGUCUAUCUCAAAACUAGAUGCUAUGAUAGGCUUUGAAGAUUUUGGUGGUUCGAGAUGUGUGCCCGUAGGUCUAUGAAACUGAUAGAUGGACAUGUUUGCAUUCAUGAUAGACCAGAGAUCAAGGAUUAGAUAAGAAGAAACAAUAGCAGAGAUGAGGCAAAGGAUAAAAGGAAAAGUAUUUGUUUUUAUUUUGUAGAAAAUGAUUAAGCUAGUUCGUAGUCAACUCAGCAACCGUCUCCCCGGCAACGGCGCCAAAAAUGCUUGUUGACACUUGCUAACACCACUUGAAUACUAGGUUGUCAUCCCCAGCAUGGCACUAGAGUGUACUAUGGUAUUUAUACGCACACAGAUAAAUCCGCAAGCGCACGGAUACCGUUGUAGCUUUUACCCGGUUAAAGGUUUUAUCGUAUCCACAGGGAAACGGGAGAACCAACUACGCUCUAACUUAACCAAGACAGAUAGAUAGGUGUAAAUAGGAAACAUGGUAGAAUUGAAUAAGAACAAUAUUAAAGGUAAGAUAACAAUGGGUGAUAAUAUGGGAAUAGAGAGUAGAGCAAUGUAAUAUAUGGGCGAUGGUAGGAGUAUAGAGAGGAUAACUAUAGUUUCUCUACUUCAAAGGGGUAUGUCUAUAUCUGGGACGAACCACGUGAUAAGAAUACACCACAAAGGAUGCUUAUCCAUAGGCCGAUAAACCCUACCCGUCCUGCUAACAAGAGGUGGACUACAGGGGACCAACGUAACUGUCACCAACGUGGCCUCCACACGAUCCAGCUAGACAGGGGAUAUCCACAACUAAUCUAGGUCUAAGCACCUCGCUUACACCUAUACUACAACUCUCACCUAUAGCGUCCUAUAGAUUAAAGUACUCAAAAGAGUUAUGAACCAGAACAUACAUAGAUAGUAAUUGCAUAAUGAAUUAGAAGUACAUUACCAGAGUCAUCCCAUGAGCAAGCUUGAUUAGAACUUGAUCAUGGCGAAGUACAACCGAAGGAAGAACCGACAUGCCGGCCUCUCCUGCAAUCCUCCUUCGCUCUCCAUCUCGCUACUAUCUAGAUCUACUCUAGUUUAGAGAAGAGAGGAGAGCUCUCAUCUCCAAACCCUAGGUUUUGCUCUGUCUAUGAAUAAUGAAUAAGGAUCAAGGGGUGCCUCCUCUAGGGGCCAAGGGGUCUGCUUAUAUAGUCCUUCCAAAUGAAUGUGGGCCGUCGGAUCAAAUUGACAUUAAUCACAGGGUUUUCCUUGAUCAUUUAGGUCGGUGGAGCAUAAUCCGCGAGACUCAACCUGAUUGGUUCCUGUAGCAGGGCAGGCACCCAAGGGGGGAGGGCGGGCGCCCUGCCCCCGAGCCCGCUCGGCUUCCCGUUCGUUCCCGUGGCUUCUGGAGUCUUCUAGAUGAUAGAAAAUUGCGAGGUAUGUUAAUAUCUCUAUGUAAAUCGACAUGUGGGCGUUUCCUCCAUAUUUCCUAAUAACCCCGUGCAGAAAUAAACAAACACCAAAACUCGUGGAAUUCUGUCAGAUAAAACCCUAAGUCUAGGUGUCGGUUGCAUUUGGAUCCUUUUCUUUAUUUAUUUGAUGAUUAAAUUUGAUACUUAAGGACCGUCAACAACUCCCCCAAGCUUACCUCUUGCAAGGAUGGACUCAAGAGUUUCUGCAAUGGUUUCAUGCCUUAAAGGUACACAUGCGUUCAAGCAAGAUCUCAUCUCUGAGUUAGAGUAAACUGUUAAGACUUAAAACUUACUCAUUUUACCUUUCACCAUGGGGCUUGCAACCAUUACUUGUGUCUUGAGCAGUUAAAAGAUAGAACGGUCAAGUCAAGCACCAUGUCUCUUGUUCUUGAUCAACUAUAGCUCUAGAGUUUUUGCAGAUUUUCAAAUAAAACUCAUAGAUUCCUGUAUGACUCUCUCUAGUCUCUCUUUUGUGGUAUUUCUGGAUCCUCACCAAGGCAGUGAUGGUGUAUGCCUUCUCUCAAAGUAUGUAGUAUUUGUGGUAUGAGGCAUAGUGAUAUUGCCUUCUCUCUCACCCUACUCUAAUAAGGUUUUGAUAUCUGGAGCUCAUAGGUGCGAGACAGCUAAUACAUACUUACAAGACAUUUAUUGCAUAGUCAAACCAUGGAUCCAGAGAAACAAGUCAAUAAGUCAAAUCAAGAUGUGCAUGUAUGGCGAAUGAAUGGUGAAUGGUGAUGAUGGUGAUAAUGGUGAAAACAAUGGUGAAAGUCUAAUUCUACUUUUGCUCUUUUGAGAGGAUACAUACCUUUCUUGCACUUUGAAGUUUUUUGAGGGGAAUGAGAUGCUCUAUAUUUUCUUUUUCUUUUCCCUCAGGUGGGUAUCUUGUACCCCUAAUUCUACUGUCGGACAAUUGUCCAUUUUUACCUCUCGUCUCACUUUUUCAUUUCUUCGAGGUUCCGGGCACUUGCCCCUUUUUAUUUCCUCGUAUUUUUUCUCUUUUUUUUAGAGCACUCACCCUCCUGAAAUAAUAUAGCAAGUGGUAGUAACCAAGAUAACUCGAGCAUUUAUUUCAUAGGGGAAAAAUAGAAAUGUUUUUGUUUAUUCUCUCCCGGAUUAGGAGUAGAAUAUUUUUGGGUGGUUCUAGAGAUGGAAAGGAGUGGAUGUAUGUGGAUGCGUACUUCUGGAGUAGAAGCAGUAUGUAUGAGUGAACAUGCAAGUGAAUCUUGAUUUUAACCGCAUGACAAGCUCCUAAGGGUCUACACAGCUAGACCGCACUGAAUGCUCAUAAGCAAUAAAAAGUAAAUGUGUAGCUCAAAGUCUAGCAAUCAUGUAUAUAUAGCUGUGGUAGGAUUUUAAACUCUCAUCAUACAGGAACUCAUCUUGCAACAUUUUAAAGAUUUUUAAAGAUAAAAUUCUCCAGAAUUCUAGCAUCUCUAGGAACAGAUAAAUAGCAGCUCAACCUUCCCAUAUCGUAUCCACUAACAACUUAGACUUUAGAUCAAGUACUCUUCCCACAAGUUCAGGUUUAGAGCAAAUCUUAAUUCAUAACAGUCAUGCCUAAACUUGAGAGAGAUUUCAAUUUUGAGAACUAGUCAUGGUAGAGCAACUAUUCAUCAUUUCUAUGUGAGAGCUUAUCAUGAGGGUUCAUAGCAAACUUUAUUUAUUUAUUUAUUUAGCAAACUAAGCAAAGAUAUAUAUAUAUAUAUAAGCAUAAAAUCUUUAUUUGGGUUUUUAUGAUUAUGCAUCUUUUUAUUAUUUGAGUAAAGUAUAAACGCGAGUAGAAACACUUAGCUGGAUAAAUGGGGGUGCUCUCCCCCAAGCUGGAUUUUGACGUAAUUUCUUCUGAUGUAGCUAGCAGGUGACGGAGGUGUAUUUGAAUGUCGGCAGCACCCUGACAGCGAUUACUAUGUCCUCCACCGGCUAGUCUUCUUUGAUCCUUGAAUUCUAUGGAGCUCAAAUAGACAACAAAGCUUUGUGGAACUAGUUAAGUGUUAGAAUAAAAUCUCUUAGCCUUUAUUAUAUUGAUAUUAUUCCUAAUAAAUUUUAUUUAUUUAGCAGGAUCAUGCACUUAUUAUUUUUAUAUUCUAUUGUAAGAUGAAAACAUAUUUAUUUUAUGCCACCACAGUCAAUAUACCUAUGGGUUUUAAACCACAAGUCUACUCACAUGGGGCUUUAGAUUUCAUGAUGCAGUGCAAUGAACAAAUAUUUUUGUUUUCUUUUCUAAUCCUAAUGUGGAAAAGUAGAUAUGCUAAUGCAAGUGAUGGAAUAAAAAGGAAAAGGAAUGCAGAAAAGAUAAAUAUGGAUAACUACCGAUUUUACCUUUCGGCGAGGGUUCAAUGUUUUAAGUCUUCUCAACAAGACUUCUCACCGUGUUCAUUCUUUAGGUGCGUCAUUUGAUUCAGGUGUGGACCUUGACGUCUGCACCUCUUGAUACAGUGUCACCUAUGUUCUUUGGUUGCCCAGCAGUUUGAAGUGCGGCGUUGGCAGUAUCUUGCUCAGUGUGUUUGUGCUCGUAGAUCCAGGUCCUUCACUUGGUGGAGUCUGGGAGUUGUAAAACUCCUCCAUGUUUUGCUCGAAGUGUACCUGCUCAUAGAGACAAGGCAGAGAUCAAGUGCAUGGGCCCUGUUGGUGGAAAACACCAAGAGAACCAAAAGUGUAUUUGUUCUUCUCUAACCUUAAGCAUAGUGAGCAAGACAAAGUUGAUGGAUACUAAGAUCAUGAGUGUAGCAUUUAAAACAAUUGUCAGAUCAGAUCGCUCAACCUUAUGGAA
rnacentral:lncRNA from 1 species